rnacentral:rRNA from 1 species
UGGGGAAUCUUGCGCAAUGGACGAAAGUCUGACGCAGCGACGCCGCGUGGGUGAUGAAGGCCUUCGGGUUGUAAAGCCCUGUGGGGAGGGACGAAUAAGUGCGGGCUAAUACUCCGCAUGAUGACGGUACCUCCUUAGCAAGCACCGGCUAACUCUGUGCCAGCAGCCGCGGUAAGACAGAGGGUGCAAACGUUGUUCGGAAUUACUGGGCGUAAAGCGUGUGUAGGCGGCCAUGCAAGUCGGAUGUGAAAGCCCUGGGCUCAACCCAGGAAGUGCACCCGAAACUGCAUGGCUUGAGUAUCGGAGAGGUUGGUGGAAUUCUCGGUGUAGAGGUGAAAUUCGUAGAUAUCGAGAGGAACACCGGUGGCGAAGGCGGCCAACUGGACGAAUACUGACGCUGAGACACGAAAGCGUGGGGAGCAAACAGGAUUAGAUACCCCCGUAGUCC